CCUACGGGAGGCAGCAGUGGGGAAUAUUGGACAAUGGGGGGAACCCUGAUCCAGCCAUGCCGCGUGUGUGAAGAAGGCCCUCUGGUUGUAAAGCACUUUCAGUGAGGAAGAACGCCUGGUGGUUAAUACCCAUCAGGAAAGACAUCACUCACAGAAGAAGCACCGGCUAACUCCGUGCCAGCAGCCGCGGUAAUACGGAGGGUGCGAGCGUUAAUCGGAAUUACUGGGCGUAAAGCGCGCGUAGGUGGCUUGAUAAGCCGGUUGUGAAAGCCCCGGGCUCAACCUGGGAACGGCAUCCGGAACUGUCAAGCUAGAGUGCAGGAGAGGAAGGUAGAAUUCCCGGUGUAGCGGUGAAAUGCGUAGAGAUCGGGAGGAAUACCAGUGGCGAAGGCGGCCUUCUGGACUGACACUGACACUGAGGUGCGAAAGCGUGGGUAGCAAACAGGAUUAGAUACCCUGGUAGUC
rnacentral:rRNA from 1 species